rnacentral:lncRNA from 1 species
CAGAAACUUGAAGUUGUGUGUGGAGGUGCAUGGGGAGAUUGUUGGCAGUGAGCUUUUGGGGAUGACUAAUCUGGAGGAGGUGAUCAUUGUGGCGGGGUUCCUUUGCAGAAAGGCCAUCAGAAAAGAGGCGGAUGACGAAAAUGGCAGUUGAGGUGAUUGGGGAAGUUAAAAAGACGUUAAAAGAAAGAGGCGGGGUUCCUUUGCAGAAAGGCCAUCAGAAAAGAGGCGGAUGACGAAAAUGGCAGUUGAGGUGAUUGGGGAAGUUAAAAAGACGUUAAAAGAAAGAAUGUCACCACAGAAGAAGGUGGAAACCAGUUGUACCAAAAAGUGGGUUCAGUAAAAUAAAUUUUGAAUACAACUAUUAAUACAUUCUCAAACUUUGAAUACAACCAAUCUCUAUGGUCUAAGAACAAAUAUGAUAAUGAGAUUUAGAUAAAAGAAGAAGAAAUAUGAUUGUGGUGUAAUCACAAAGUUUGAGUGAGGGAACAAUUUUCAACGGUAAACAGUAUUUUCCCAGAGUCACAUUAAGGACUAAAGUUAACAUAUUAUACCCAAAAUGCAAUUAACAUUGAGGGUUGAAAAUGUGUGCAAAUCUUUUGAUGUAAUUUGAUCCCUCUUUUGAUUAUUAUGAAAAUUUAAUAGUUUUAACUUCACUUUUAUUCAAG